AUAUAUUUUYCAAACCCCUUUUACAAAAUGACUGAUCAAUACUGUGAGAACGAAAGUUCUUGCUUUAAACUAGAUAACAACUUUCAGCAGUGGAUGUCUAGGCUCGCACAUCGAUGAAGAACGCUGCGAACUGCGAUACGUAAUGCGAAUUGCAGAAUUCAGUGAGUCAUCGAAAUUUUGAACGCAUAUUGCACUUUCGGGUUAGACCUGGAAGUAUGUCUGUAUCAGUGUCCGUACAUCAAACUUGCCUCUCUUUUUUCUGUGUAGUCAGGAUUGGAGACGUGCAGAUGUGAAGUGUCUCGCGCACUUGCGUCUUCGGACGACAAGCUGUCGAGUCCUUUUAAAACGACACGAUCUUUCUAUUGUUUCUGUGAAGCGUAUUGCUCGAACGCGGUGAUUUUCGGAUCGCUCGCAGUCGUCGGCGACUUCGGUGAGAACAUAAAGGAGGAAACCUCAAUUCGCGGUAUGUUCGGCUUCGGCUCGACAAUGUUGCUUAUUGUGUGUGGAAUCUGUUUUCGCCUUGAGGUGUACUGAUGGUUGUGUGCUUGAACUGGGAGUUGGUGUGUAGUAGAGYGGUGCAGCAUGCAUGGUUACGCCUUUUAUAUAGAGAGAUGUCUAUUUGGGAAAG
rnacentral:rRNA from 1 species